AAACACAAAUAUCAUUAUGAGCCAUAUAUCUAACCCGUAAAAUUUUGCAAUCGAAUGUGAAGCCCACAUAUGGAAUUAUUAAUUAUUCCAACAUUCUCCCACUUAGGCAAACAUUUGAUUGCCAUAUCAAAGUUUUAACACCCGGGUUAGACUACAUAGGUGGCCACAAAAGUAUAGCUCCAAUGAUAACACCUUACGUAACAUGAUCCGGUCCAACAAGAAUAUUAAC
rnacentral:lncRNA from 1 species